rnacentral:rRNA from 1 species
AUGAACGCUGGCGGCGUGCUUAACACAUGCAAGUCGAACGAAGCACUUAUCUUUGAUUCUUCGGAUGAAGAGGUUUGUGACUGAGUGGCGGACGGGUGAGUAACGCGUGGGUAACCUGCCUCAUACAGGGGGAUAACAGUUAGAAAUGACUGCUAAUACCGCAUAAGACCACAGAGCCGCAUGGCUCAGUGGGAAAAACUCCGGUGGUAUGAGAUGGACCCGCGUCUGAUUAGGUAGUUGGUGGGGUAACGGCCUACCAAGCCAACGAUCAGUAGCCGACCUGAGAGGGUGACCGGCCACAUUGGGACUGAGACACGGCCCAAACUCCUACGGGAGGCAGCAGUGGGGAAUAUUGCACAAUGGGGGAAACCCUGAUGCAGCGACGCCGCGUGAGCGAAGAAGUAUUUCGGUAUGUAAAGCUCUAUCAGCAGGGAAGAAAAUGACGGUACCUGACUAAGAAGCACCGGCUAAAUACGUGCCAGCAGCCGCGGUAAUACGUAUGGUGCAAGCGUUAUCCGGAUUUACUGGGUGUAAAGGGAGCGUAGACGGCUGUGUAAGUCUGAAGUGAAAGCCCGGGGCUCAACCCCGGGACUGCUUUGGAAACUAUGCAGCUAGAGUGUCGGAGAGGUAAGUGGAAUUCCCAGUGUAGCGGUGAAAUGCGUAGAUAUUGGGAGGAACACCAGUGGCGAAGGCGGCUUACUGGACGAUGACUGACGUUGAGGCUCGAAAGCGUGGGGAGCAAACAGGAUUAGAUACCCUGGUAGUCCACGCCGUAAACGAUGACUACUAGGUGUCGGGGAGCAAAGCUCUUCGGUGCCGCAGCAAACGCAAUAAGUAGUCCACCUGGGGAGUACGUUCGCAAGAAUGAAACUCAAAGGAAUUGACGGGGACCCGCACAAGCGGUGGAGCAUGUGGUUUAAUUCGAAGCAACGCGAAGAACCUUACCAGGUCUUGACAUCCGAUGCAUAGUGCAGAGAUGCAUGAAGUCCUUCGGGACAUCGAGACAGGUGGUGCAUGGUUGUCGUCAGCUCGUGUCGUGAGAUGUUGGGUUAAGUCCCGCAACGAGCGCAACCCUUAUCUUCAGUAGCCAGCAAUUCGGAUGGGCACUCUGGAGAGACUGCCAGGGAUAACCUGGAGGAAGGUGGGGAUGACGUCAAAUCAUCAUGCCCCUUAUGAGCAGGGCUACACACGUGCUACAAUGGCGUAAACAAAGGGAAGCGAGCCUGCGAGGGUAAGCAAAUCUCAAAAAUAACGUCUCAGUUCGGAUUGUAGUCUGCAACUCGACUACAUGAAGCUGGAAUCGCUAGUAAUCGCGAAUCAGCAUGUCGCGGUGAAUACGUUCCCGGGUCUUGUACACACCGCCCGUCACACCAUGGGAGUUGGGAGUGCCCAAAGCCGGUGAGGCAACCGCAAGGAGCCAGCCGUCUAAGGCAAGACCAAUGACUGGGGUG